rnacentral:pre_miRNA from 1 species
UACUCAGAAGGGGCCAGGUUACUUAGAAUGAGUGUUGCCUGAGCCCUUCUGAGUAU